GUGGAAGCAGAUCCUGCCCCAGUUCAGCCUCCGGAUGAAAACCCACUCCCAGACCAAGCCCUGAUUCCUGUCUUGCAGAAAGCCCAGCUCCAAAACGGUGAAAUGCAGAAAUGCACGCGGCUCAACAGACGAGGCUGCCAUGGCCAAGGCCACCAGUCCACUCGGAAGACAGAGGGAUUCCAAACCUCAUGGCCACCUGUAGGACGGAUCCAGGGCACAGAAAGUGGGAAGCCCGUGACGCCAAGUGGCCAGGAGGUCCACAGACGGCAGAAAGAUUAUGAUAAUUUUCCAGGCACAGUAGCACACAGCUGCAAUCCCAGCUACUCAGAAGGCUGAAGGAGGAGGAUCUCAAGUUGGAGGUCCUCUUGGUCAACUUAGCAUCACCUUGUCUCAAAGUCAAAGAAAUUUGUGUGUAUGUGUGUGUGUGUGUGUGUGUGUUGAACACAGGGGUGAUUAACCACUGAGCCACAUCCCCAGCCCUUUUUAUUUUUUAUUUGAGACAGAGAUCACAGGCGUGUGUACCACACCCAGCCGAGAUAGUAACUUGCUAAUUGCUGAGGGUCUUAAGUUGCUGUGGAUGGCUUUGAAUUUACAAUCCUCCUGCUUCAGCCUCCUGUGUGGCUGGGAUUAUAGGUGUGUGCCACCCCUGCCUUGUUCAAAGUAAGAUUUUAAAAGAGAGCUGGGGCUGUAGUUCAGUGGUAGAGUGCUUGCCCAGUGUCGGGAGCUGCCACGUAGGAGGAACCCUGAGUGAUGGGGAUGUGGAGAUGUGGCCAGCCAGCCCUGGGCUGUGUGUGUGUGAACUAUGGGCAUUAAGCACGCAAAGUGGACUGAAUCCACGUUGUCCUCUGUUUGGAUGGGCCUCGCUCUACCAUGAUCCCCACAUAGCUCAUGAGAUGGGCGUGGCCUCCCUAGAUGCAGACAUCAGGAAGCUAGACUCAACCCCCUGAAACCUGACCCUUUGCCUCAUUUGAAUGGCUUCUUUCCCAUAAAAGGGUUCAGCAUGUGCUCCUCUCUCUCUUUCCAUGGACCCCUAAAGUCAGAGGAGCCAUCACAGGACCCAAAGAGAAAGGUAUUUCUUUGUCUCUGAGUGAUUAUUUUGUGCAGCCCAGUUCACCUGGAGUGACCCUGAGUGUUUAGUCAGUAUGUGUGAAUUCAAUCUCCAGUACCAUUAAAAAAAAAGAAGAAGAAGAAGAAAGAAAGAAAAAGAAGAGGAAAAGAUUGUGAUCAUGUGUGCCGGUGCCCUAGGAAGCUAACUGGGAUGAAUGGCAGUUCUAAAGGUGAAAUUCUUUCUUCAAGUCACUUCCAAAUGGACUCCCCAGGAGAUCAGGUUUUUCAAAACCUUCUGGACAGCUUUCUGGUCAGCUGCUCUGAUGAUACUGUGCUGAUAAGACCCCCAAACCAGGAAGGAACAGAUACAGGGGAGGUGAUCAGGCCCAGGAAACUGCCAGUGUGCACCUCAGGGAAGACAUUGGGAACCCUAUAGCCAGAGGCCAGUAAGAACAUUCUCUCCAGAUAAAGACGUGAUUUCAUCUUGACCCCUGUGUCACUGGUGAAAAGGGAAGAUGUCCUCCAGGGGAGUGGGCACUUCUUAGCCUGCUUUGUUCCAACACAGGAGAUUCUCGUAAAUAUUCAUGGGUGACUGAACAAAUGUCAAAAGGGCCCAAAGUAUGGUACAUCUGUAUGAGACUGUGAUACACAAAAUAUGUCCUUUAAAAUAUACCAGUGCCUUCCCAAAUUCUAUGUGCCCUUCUAGCAAAUCAUCAAACCCAAGAAGGAGGUCCUGGGGUUCCUGAUACAGCAGUGUUCAGAGCCAUGGGAGGCCCAGGCCCCAUAUUUGCAUCUAGUGGGGGAAGCCUGGUAGGACAGAGCCAUCAGCCGUAGGGCUAGACCCUAACUUCAGGCAGUGCUGGGAUGGAAUUACAACAUUGGUUACCCAGUUGGUGCCGGUGUGCCAGAAACUUGACUUUUGGUGUAUAAAAUAAAACCCACAUGUUUAGUGUUAGAAGCUCUAGAAGUGACAAAUGGAGUAAAAUCUGUAUCCCAGGCGAACUCUCCCCCAAACAGAGAGUGUCACAGGGAAUGCUAUUAUGUCAUCUGGUAGGUCAGAGGCUGCUCUGUGGCUCCCAGUCAGACUUCCACUAGCCUCCCCAGUUCUUGCUCAGUAGACUCCUGAGCCCAUGGCCAUGGUGGGCCACCAACCUUAGCCAGCUCCGUCACUGAGGAAUGCCCACCUUGUUGGCAGCAGCCACUGCUGAACCCCCACCAAGGCACAGACUCCUAGCAAGGUCGUCAAGGCCUGGUCAGUUGAGGAUUACAUUGGACCCCUUCCAUCAUGGAUUGGGCAAUGAGUUUUUCCUCCCUGGAAUAAAUAACUCUGGCCUUGC